rnacentral:lncRNA from 1 species
GGGGCAGGGACUGCCACCUUUAGGCACCUGCCCUCUGCCGGGCCUGCUGUGCUGCCUUUGAAAGUCACCAGUUCCAUCUUUGGGAUAGGAAAACCGAGGCUUGGAGGCCCGGAUUAGGGCUGGGCUCAAACUCAAGACCUCAUGCAUGCUGGACAAACUCUACCACUGAGCUACACUCCAGACUCUUCAGUUCGCCUCUUCGAUACUUGGCUAUGCAACUGCUUUUGACCAGCAGAAUGAGGAGGCACAUGUGACUAGGCGCCAGUGUGCAGCUUGGGUCUAGCGACUCUGCAGGGUUCCACUUGCUCUUGUGUGGUCACCAAGGGAAGAAGGACAAGAUUACACCAGCUGAAGACAUCCUGGGAGGAACAAAAUCUUCAUCUACUUGGUUCCUCAUUGCUCUUGGACUGUUACACCUUGUUUAUCCCGAUGUACUAAAUUCUCUGCAAGUCAUUUGUUACAUUUGUUUCUCCCCCGAUGUACUGAGUACUGAAUAAAAGAUGCGGUAAGCUGGGGGCUUUCGUCUUUGCCCCCCAGAGCAGCACUGAUCAGACCCAAAGCUCAGCUUCUUCUCAGUCGCAUUUUUUUCUACCUUUCCCAUACAAUAAGUUAAUUCGCCUUGUGCUGCCGUGGCUUGCAGGAGACUAGGACUCACUGCAGAGGUCCUAGUAAUGUCCCGUCUCCCUGUUCCCUACAUUAUACCAUCAUAUUAAUUGCCCAAACUCUCAUUUCUGGGGUGCAGAUAAGAGAGGUGGUAGUUCACGUAUUGGUGUACGGUUGCUUUCAAAUGCAUUAAGGUGGAAGUACAACUUCCCU